GGCACUGCUCAGGGCUAGGUGUGACGGCGGUGGCACUGCUCUGGGCUAGGUGUGACGGCGGUGGCACUGCUCUGGGCUAGGUGUGACGGCGGUGGCACUGCUCUGGGCUAGGUGUGACGGGGUCAAUUUGGUCAACUCAGGAA